GUCCACGCCGUAAACGAUGAAUGCCAGUCGUUGGAUAGUUUACUAUUCAGUGACGCAGCUAACGCAUUAAGCAUUCCGCCUGGGGAGUACGGUCGCAAGAUUAAAACUCAAAGGAAUUGACGGGGGCCCGCACAAGCGGUGGAUCAUGUGGUUUAAUUCGAAGCAACGCGCAGAACCUUACCGGCUCUUGACAUGCCAAAGACAGUUAUAGGAGACUAUUUCUUCCCUUCGGGGCUUUGGACACAGGUGCUGCAUGGCUGUCGU
rnacentral:rRNA from 1 species